UACGUAGGGUGCGAGCGUUAAUCGGAAUUACUGGGCGUAAAGCGUGCGCAGGCGGUUUUGUAAGCCAGAUGUGAAAUCCCCGGGCUUAACCUGGGAAUGGCAUUUGGGACUGCAAGGCUUGAGUUUGGCAGAGGAGACUGGAAUUCCUGGUGUAGCAGUGAAAUGCGUAGAUAUCUGGAGGAACACCGGUGGCGAAGGCGGCAUCCUGGACCGGGCAUUGACGCUGAGGCGCGAAAGCCAGGGGAGCAAAGCGGG
rnacentral:rRNA from 1 species